rnacentral:rRNA from 1 species
UACGUAGGGCGCAAGCGUUGUCCGGAAUUAUUGGGCGUAAAGAGCUCGUAGGCGGUCUGUCGCGUCCGUUGUGAAAACUCGAGGCUCAACCUCGGGCUUGCAGUGGAUACGGGCAGACUAGAGUGCGGUAGGGGAGACUGGAAUUCCUGGUGUAGCGGUGAAAUGCGCAGAUAUCAGGAAGAACACCCGUGGCGAAGGCGGCUCUCUGGGACGGUACUGACGCUGAGACGCGAAAGCGUGGGGAGCGAACAGG